rnacentral:lncRNA from 1 species
CUCUUAAGAAGAACUGAGGACAUAUUCGAAGAAGAAUCAAAGCUAGGAGUGGAAGGAUUUACCAAUUCAUACUUUAUGUCUGAUGUUGAUGGUAGAAUGUCUACAUCAUGGAUGUGUUCCUAUAUCGAUAUUUUAGAAAGAUUUCAAAUAAUCGAUCAAUAGAAGCUGAGUACACUGUAGAUGUGUAGGAUGCAUUCUAGCUGUAAUAUUAGUUGCAGAAUUAGUUGUCAUACCAUCAG